AAGCUUUUUCCUCGCAGAAACAGUGAAAUAUGUGGCUCCUUUUUGACUUGGCUGUGGGUCCUGACAACCUUGUUGAAAGUGGACCGUACAAGUACAUAUUUAGCACCGAGGGCCACUUGUUGCCUGCGACUCCUCAAAUAUCCUUAUUACAAGAGCAUUGUUCAUAUUUUGGGGCUUAUUGUAACCGUGGCUACUUAAAAGAAGAGUUUCGUGCGUCAGACAAGUUUGCUGAU